GAUGAAGAACGUAGCGAAAUGCGAUAAGUAAUGUGAAUUGCAGAAUUCAGUGAAUCAUCGAAUCUUUGAACGCACCUUGCACCCUUUGGCAUUCCGAAGGGUAUGCUCGUUUGAGUGUCAUUGUACUCUCACACUUCCAAUCUUUGGAUUGGGGGCGGUGGACUUGGGUGUUGCUGCUUACUGUGGCUCACCUCAAAUUGAUUCGUGCACCUCUUGGUUGGACAUAGUACGGCGUGAUAAGUGUCUUCGCCGGCACCUCAGUAGAGGGUGGCUGAUCGGGAGCUCUGUGCUUCAAACCGUCCUCGGACAACAACUGACAACUUGACCUCAAAUCGAGUAGGACUACCCACUGAACUUAAGCAUAUCAAUAAGCGGAGGA
rnacentral:misc_RNA from 1 species